rnacentral:rRNA from 1 species
CUCCAGACUCCUACGGGAGGCAGCAGUGAGGAAUAUUGGUCAAUGGCCGGAAGGCUGAACCAGCCAAGCCGCGUGAAGGACGAAGGUGCCAAGCAUUGUAAACUUCUUUUGUCAAGGGACAAAAUCAGGCUCGAGAGCCUGACCGAGGGUACUUGAAGAAAAAGCAUCGGCUAACUCCGUGCCAGCAGCCGCGGUAAUACGGAGGAUGCGAGCGUUAUCCGGAUUUAUUGGGUUUAAAGGGUGCGUAGGCGGUCCGUUAAGUCAGUGGUAAAAUUGCGGGGCUCAACCCCGUCGAGCCGUUGAAACUGGCAGACUUGAGUUGGCGAGAAGUAUGCGGAAUGCGUGGUGUAGCGGUGAAAUGCAUAGAUAUCACGCAGAACUCCGAUUGCGAAGGCAGCAUACCGGCGCUCAACUGACGCUCAUGCACGAAAGCGUGGGUAUCGAACAGGAUUAGAUACCCGUGUAA